GUAGAGCACGCUUUUGUGUAGGUCACAGAGGAGUGACCCAGGGUACUAUAUAUAGUCACUGGCCCCUCAUUUCUGGCACAAUUGCCCUGCUCUGCUUUCCAGCCACCAUGAACUAAGCAUCUUUGCUCUAAAAUGGCCUUCUACCACGUUUUUACCUUGAAGCUAGCCUAAAACUAGUUAUGCCUGAGAGGAAGCUAUAUGGAAAAAUACAUUAUUGUUUGAAGCAGUUUCUUUUUUGUCCAUAGAAAACAUCACUGAGAUCAUGAAAGAAAUUGUGCAAUAUUCUAUGGGGAAAUGAGCGCUGGACCAGGGAAGGCCAGAACUUCAUUUCUAGCUCUGGCGUUUACUCAGUGUUUACAAUUAGGCCCUUAAGGAAAUUGAGAGCACUUACAGAAGUGCCAAGAGAAACAGAAUCAGGAUACAGGGCAAACAUACCGGGAGAAAACCACGAUGAAGAGAAGCACUACACUUCCAAUGAGAACAAAAGCAGUUUUCCGGGGUGUAAGUCAUGCCAUGAGGAAGAGUAACUGAGGACUGAAGGAUCGUGUGCACCUGCCUGGCAUUGCGUUUCUAGGGAGGUGUCUGCGAAAAAAGGCCUCUGGCGCAAAGAUCUGAGUGGACUGAGUGAUCGGCCAAGCAAAGACACAGCAAGAAUCUUUCGGAAAGGAAGCAGUCUGUGAUCAGCGGUUUCACAGAAGGGUCGCAAGCUUCGGCACCCUUGUGAGGAGACUGAUUUUCUAGAAACAUUAAUACGUCCACAGUGCCUAAAACACUAGACCAUUCUUGAUGUUUUGUUGAAUGAGUAAAGUAUCAUAUUUUUAGGCAUUUGAAUAAAUUCAUGAUUAGUCAA